rnacentral:rRNA from 1 species
GACGAACGCUGGCGGCGUGCUUAACACAUGCAAGUCGAACGGUAAGGCCCCAGCUUGCUGGGGUACACGAGUGGCGAACGGGUGAGUAACACGUGGGUGACCUGCCCCGCACUUCGGGAUAAGCCUGGGAAACUGGGUCUAAUACCGGAUAGGACCGCACCGUGAGGGUGUGGUGGAAAGUUUUUCGGUGUGGGAUGGGCCCGCGGCCUAUCAGCUUGUUGGUGGGGUAAUGGCCUACCAAGGCGGGGACGGGUAGCCGGCCUGAGAGGGUGGACGGCCACAUUGGGACUGAGACACGGCCCAGACUCCUACGGGAGGCAGCAGUGGGGAAUAUUGCACAAUGGGCGGAAGCCUGAUGCAGCGACGCCGCGUGGGGGAUGACGGCCUUCGGGUUGUAAACUCCUUUCACCAUCGACGAAGGUUUUCUGACGGUAGAUGGAGAAGAAGCACCGGCUAACUACGUG